CCCUUAGAUGUUCUGGGCCGCACGCGCGCUACACUGAUGCAUUCAACGAGUCUAAAACCUGCUCUGAUAGGGGUGGGUAAUCUUUUGAAUGUGCAUCGUGAUUGGGAUAGAUGAUUGCAAUUUUUCAUCUUCAACGAGGAAUGCCUGGUAAACGCAAGUCAUCAGCUUGCAUUGAUUACGUCCCUGCCCUUUGUACACACCGCCCGUCGCUCCUACCGAUUGAAUGAUCCGAUGAAUAUCAUGGAUUGAGGAUGCAAGCAGGUUCGCCUGUCUUCAUCUUCGAGAAGUGAAGUAAAUCUUAUCAUUUAGAGGAAGGGGAAGUCGUAACA
rnacentral:rRNA from 1 species